CCCCCGAUGCAGUGCUGGGAAAGCAGGCAUAUACAGGCCUCGCAUUCUAAUCAGGAGAGGAAGAUGUCCAAGUCAGAACCUUAACUGGGAAGAGCUGAAUGGCAGAAUCCCUUGGGUGGACUGUAGGCUAUUUCAAAAUUCACAAAAACUCCACUUCUGGGGAAGAAGAAAAACAGCUCUGAAUGAAGUCAGUGUUUCCCUCAAAGAGAUAAUCAGUCUUAUACCCAAAUGUUGGAUUUUGUGUUUUAAAAAACAAUCCUCUUAUGACAUUCCUGACACCAAAUUUAUUGCAAGAAUUUCCAAGUCAGCGCAAGUGCAAUAAAACAUGAUUACAGGGCACAACAAAACUUUUGUUCUGACAAAACCAAUAAAGAUUUCACUCAAAAGCA